rnacentral:rRNA from 1 species
GAGGAAUAUUGGGCAAUGCCCGCAAGGGUGACCCAGCAACGCCGCGUGGAGGAUGAAUGUCGUGAGAUUGUAAACUUCUGUUAGAGGGGAAGAAUAGUACCGGUUGGACCGGUAUAUGACUGUACCCUCAGAGAAAGCCCCGGCUAACUACGUGCCAGCAGCCGCGGUAAUACGUAGGGGGCAAGCGUUGUCCGGAUUUACUGGGUGUAAAGGGCGCGCAGGCGGGAUAAAAAGUCAGUGGUGAAAUCCUACAGCUUAACUGUAGAACUGCCUUUGAUACUUUUAUUCUUGAGUUCGGGAGAGAGAGACGGAAUUCCAGGUGUAGUGGUGAAAUACGUAGAUAUCUGGAAGAACACCAGUUGCGAAGGCGGUCUCUUGGUCCGACACUGACGCUGAGGCGCGAAAGCGUGGGGAGCAAACA